GUGCCUCCCUCCCAGGCUCAUAAUAUUGAUUUCUUAUGGAACCCUCUACAGGGUGCCCGUAAAUUAUCCAAACAACAAACCAUGGGGAAGAUUAGAUCUCAUUGAACCUUUUGAGAUACAUCUAUAUUUUCACAAAAUUUAAUUUCAAAAUGAUUGCUUCAUACUGAGGAAAUUAUAUUUAAAGUUUUCGGAGAUGUUUUUCCUGAGGACCGCUAGUCAUUUUGGAGAAUUUUCCUCCCUAAAUUCUAAAAGAGAUGAAUUCAAAAGUCCAAUUAUUGUUCGAUGUUAUCAAUAGGAUCUUGGCGUUAAGAUAGGCUGGAAGUAUAAAAUUAUUCGGUUCAAAUCAUGUGUUCGAAAAACGGCGUUCGAUAAGGCAUUAGGCUUGGUUGUACAAAUAGUUGACAUCAGAAAUGUGUCAAACUUAUUCCUUAUGAAUAUAAUAGGUCAAGAUUUUGAACCAUCUAGGAAUGAUCAAAUUCAUUAUCUCGGUUGCAUAGAGACACGCCUUCAAAGUUUGUACUGAUAAUAGCGGACACCCUGUACUAUGGGUGCAAAGGAUGAACAAUUUUAAGCAGAAUUAUCACUUUAAACAGCUUGUAUCAUUUUCGCAUAGCACAUCAUUUAAAAAUAUCACAUAAACAUUUAUCAUCACUACCUCCACUGAAGGUGCAUUUACUCUAGUCGUUUCAUGUAUGAUAAACAUAAUUGAAUCAUUAAACAUUAAUAUUCAAAACCAACCCGUUGAAAUGUCGAAACGGGUUUCUAAUCCUUUCCAGAAACACUUGUUUGAUCUCACCGCGCAUCCUGUAUCUCGUCCAAGCACCUUCGCUGCUUCUUCAUUUUCAAGCUGUUACUAGCCAACAAAAAAGUCAAUUGACUAACUCAAACUGGUUGUCGCAAACAAAAUCGAGCAAGAUUACACGAACUACCAUUUUGUUCGAUUAGUUCUGCUUAGGAUAUCUCACCAAACGGUUCACAUUGCAACAGAAUAAGCAACAUGUCUAAAGUUUUCCUAUCCAUCUUGGCUUGUUUGCUGAUGCUAGUUGCAGCGGUUUUCAGUACUAGUCAACAGAAUUAUGAUCACGUUCCAACGACCUACACGUUCGCCAAGCCCGAGGUAUAUUUUGUAACUUACGGUGGAAGAAGCCAGCAUCAACGAGGAACACAAUCCAAGGAAGCGGACUUUGCAUCAUUCCCAAAACCGAUUGUAUUCUGAACACAUGCAUCAGCAAAAUGAUAUAUUAUUUUCGUGAGUGCUGUUUGGAGAUCUUUGUACAAAUCCAAUGUUAAAUUUGAAUAAACAGUAAUCAGACACCUAA